rnacentral:rRNA from 1 species
AGUGAACGCUGGCGGUAGGCCUAACACAUGCAAGUCGAACGGCAGCACAGUAAGAGCUUGCUCUUACGGGUGGCGAGUGGCGGACGGGUGAGGAAUACAUCGGAAUCUACUUUUUCGUGGGGGAUAACGUAGGGAAACUUACGCUAAUACCGCAUACGACCUACGGGUGAAAGCAGUGGAUCUUCGGACCUUGCGCGAUUGAAUGAGCCGAUGUCGGAUUAGCUAGUUGGCGGGGUAAAGGCCCACCAAGGCGACGAUCCGUAGCUGGUCUGAGAGGAUGAUCAGCCACACUGGAACUGAGACACGGUCCAGACUCCUACGGGAGGCAGCAGUGGGGAAUAUUGGACAAUGGGCGAAAGCCUGAUCCAGCAAUACCGCGUGAGUGAAGAAGGCCUUCGGAUUGUAAAGCCCUUUUGUUAGGAAAGAAAAGCAGCAGGUUAAUACCCCGCUGUUCUGACGGUACCCAAAGAAUAAGCACCGGCUAACUUCGUG